AUUUUUAUAGUGUAAUAUAAACACACUACAUUUUCGUUGUAGAACUGAAGUUGUUUCUUCUAAAAAUU
rnacentral:tRNA from 1 species